rnacentral:rRNA from 1 species
UUGGAGGGCAAGUCUGGUGCCAGCAGCCGCGGUAAUUCCAGCUCCAAUAGCGUAUAUUAAAGUUGUUGCAGUUAAAAAGCUCGUAGUUGAAUUUCGGGAUUGACGUGAUGGUCAUGCCUUAAAGGGUAUGAACUGUUACAGUUGAUUUCUCACCUUCUGGAGAAACUUGAUGUCCUUUAUUGGGUGUCUUGCGGAACCAGGACUUUUACUUUGAGAAAAUUAGAGUGUUCAAAGCAGGCUUAUGCCCGAAUACAUUAGCAUGGAAUAAUAAAAUAGGACGUGCGGUUCUAUUUUGUUGGUUUCUAGGAUCACCGUAAUGAUUAAUAGGGAUAGUUGGGGGCAUUAGUAUUCAAUUGUCAGAGGUGAAAUUCUUGGAUUUAUUGAAGACUAACUACUGCGAAAGCAUUUGCCAAGGAUGUUUUCAUUAAUCAAGAACGAAAGUUAGGGGAUCGAAGACGAUCAGAUACCGUCGUGGUCUUAACCAUAAACUAUGCCGACUAGAAAUCAGACGAUGUUAAUUUUUUAAUGACUCGUUUGGCACCUUACGGGAAACCAAAGUGUUUGGGUUC